rnacentral:lncRNA from 1 species
GGACUGAUUGAGAAAUUUAAAAAUUAUUCUCAUUUAAGAAAAAAUCUCCUAUAUUCUGGAUAUCUCUACACCCGAUAUCUCUAGACCUCCUGCUGCUCCCCAUGCCAUCUCACCUUUGGAGAACUGAAUUUUUAUUAAAGAUAACAUCCCUACUGAUGACAACCUUCUUCUCCAAGGGAUCUCACAAUCGAUAUCUCUUAACUCCUCGC